GCUGAGCACAGUGGCAUGUGCCUGUAGUCCCAGCUACUCGGGAGGCUGAGGUGGGAGGAUCGCUUGAGCCCAGGAGUUCUGGGCUGUAGUGCGCUAUGCCGAUCAGGUGUCUGCACUAAGUUCGGCAUCAAUAUGAUGACUUCCCGGGAGCAGGGAACCAGCAGGUUGCCUAAGGAGGAGUGAUCCAGCCCAGGUUGGAAAUGGGGCAGGUUAAAACUCCCGUGCUGAUCAGUAGUGGAAUCGUGCCUGUGAAUAGCCACUGCACUCCAGCCUGGGCAACAUAGUGAGACCCUGUCUCU
rnacentral:SRP_RNA from 1 species